ensembl:lncRNA CEROX1 cytoplasmic endogenous regulator of oxidative phosphorylation 1
GGGGAGGCCCCUCCGGCGGGGCGGCCCUGGGUGGUCCGGCAGAGGCGGAGGCCGCUCCGAGCCUGUGAGCCCUGGGCGCCUGCGGAGGCGGGGAGAGGGCGGGGUGUGCCGCCCUGGUGGGGACCGCGGGGUCGGAGAGGGGACAUUGCCCCCCCCGAGGCGAACGUCCAACCGCGGGUCCGGGUCCCCGCCCAAGGCCGCCCCGCGAGGUGGCCUCGGCCCGGCCGUCCCCGAGGGUGGCUCGGAUCCUUUCAACCAGCGCGCUGGAGGCGAAGGGGCUGCGCCAUUCCGGGUCAGGCAGCCAACGCGGGACACGCGCGUCUCCGAGCUUGCGGCCCGCGAAACCCGGGUGACCUACCGCGCCGGUGCCCUCAAAGCCCCCACGCCCGGGCCGGUGGCCGCUGCAGCCACUGAGCCACGCGGUCUCCCCGGCCCGGUCGGCAGAAGGAGCUGGUCCGUUACUAGAAAAGUCCAGAUGCAAAGUCGGGGGUCGUGCUGCCGCUUCCUGCCAGCGCACCGCACCCACCUGGGGCCGCCACCGACCGCACAGGACGCGCCUCCUACCCCCUGUUCUGGCCCGGCCGAGAGCUGGUGCCCCCAGCGGCCGCCCGCCCCCGUCCGCAGACCCCGGGGCCCUUGCUGCUUUGCAUUGGGAACAACCGGAGCCAGGCCCGGAGCUGAGGGGGCCAGGGCCUUUGGAGGAAGCAUUGGCCUCCAGGCUGAAGAGCAAGGGCCGUGUCACCUGCCCGGAGGGCGGUCUCAUCUCUGCAGCCAGAGCAGACAUCGCCCACUCGGGCUCACAGUGCCAUCCGGGUGAGGACCUCCGUGGAGAGCUCUCUUUGCCAAAGAAAAGCAGUUGCAUUAGGUCUGCGAGCAGGCAGGGUGGCCUCUUCCUGGCUCCCCAUCCACCAAGGAAGCUUCAAGUCCCUGGGACACAGGCACUUUCCCACACAGGAUGGAGCCGGGCCACCCUCACAGCUCCUGCCCUGCAGACGCUGGCCUUGUGGAGGGAGGCAGGCAGCAGGAGCAGUGCUUUCUGGGCCUCUGUAGCCAGAGCUGGCCCUGCUGCAGCUUACGUCUGCCUGCAGCCCAGACGUCCUCCUGGUCCUCCUGAUGCCCCCGACCUCCACGGAGGACGAGCAUUUCCAGCCCAGCCCUCCCCAUCUUCACCUCGCACUCCCCUGACACACUGGGAGCCUCCUGAUCCGUGAACCCGCGCUGGCGGGAGUAGCUACUGACCGCUGGGGACCCCUGCCCAGGCUGUUCGCAUGUGGAAAGGAUUCAGGGAGCAGGCGAUGCCCAAAGCGUGGAGACCAGCACUGCUCUCUCCCCAGUGACAGGUGCACGCCCAGAUCACGGAUGUGUCGGGAACAGCUGUGCUCCUGCUGCUCAGCGUCCGUCACUCCAGGCUGGGAGCGGGUCCCCAAGCUUCUGGCUGGGCCUAUCCGUCUCCACUCUCAGUGUGGGGGUGGGGGGCGCCAACAGCACGCAUUUGCUCUCUGCACUUCUCGUCUGAUAAUGGGCAGAGGGUCCUUCUGCAGCCCCAAAACAUCCCUAGGCAGGAGCCCUGGGGCCCCAAGCAGCCAGGGAGGUGAGCACCAAGGACCUCCCAGAGAGCGUCACCUUCCGUCGAGGGAGGCCCAGCCUGGGGGCGGUGUCUGAGACUUGGAAUCAACGCUUCCGUUGGUGGCAGUAAAUCCUGUCCCUAACCCUGCAGUACAGCUGUGCCGUGUACAGGAGGGUGCUGUCUGACGCCAGACACCUGGACUACAGAUCGCAGCCUGAUUCCUGGUCAUUGCUCCACUGAACCCCAGACCCCAGCCUCGUUCUGGGCCCUCAUCCCCUAGAUCCAGGGACCCCAGCCCCAUUUCAGCCCUUGGGCCCUUGUAGGAUGCGAGGCCCUGGGCCCCAGCCCCCAGCCCAUCCGUGGCCCAGGCACUGGGGGGCUGAGGUCCUCUGAGAAGGGACACAGGGCCUGGGGGGCUCUCUCAGCCCAUCAGCAGGAGAGGACUGACUCCAGAAAAAUCAGCGUUUGUACCCACUCAGGCUGCCAAGACCUGUGUCCGUCCUUCCAAGCUCAACCUUCAGAGUUCAUGAGGCCCCUUGCCCAGAAUGUCCACAGAGUUCAUGAGGCCCCUUGCCCGGAAUGUCCACAUUUGAAACCUCCCAACACCGAGCCCCAUUUCAAGUAUAACCAGGAGGGAAAAUGGUGCUUGAAAUAAGCAUGCCACAAAGGAAAACCUGCUUUCUCGAAAUGGGCCCUGGCCGCCCAGGCCCUGACCUCCCCGGCCAGGAUGGAACGUUCCAGAGACCCAUUAGUGCCAAAGGCAAAUGAAAACACACCCUGUGAAAAUGUC